rnacentral:rRNA from 1 species
GAUGAACGCUGGCGGCGUGCCUAAUACAUGCAAGUCGAGCGAACAGACGAGGAUCUUGCUCCUCUGACGUUAGCGGCGGACGGGUGAGUAACACGUGGAGAACCUACCUAUAAGACUGGGAUAACUUCUAGAAACCGGAGCUAAUACCGGAUAAUAUAUUGAACCGCAUGGUUCAAUAGUGAAAGACGGUUUUGCUGUCACUUAUAGAUUGUUCCGCGCCGCAUUAGCUAGUUGGUAAGGUAAGGGCUUACCAAGGCGACGAUGCGUAGCCGACCUGAGAGAGUGAUCGGCCACACUGGAACUGAAACACGGUCCAGACUCCUACGGGAGGCAGCAGUAGGGAAUCUUGCGCAAUGGGAGAAAGCCUGACGGAGCAACGCCGCGUGAGUGAUGAAGGUCUUCGGAUCGUAAAACUCUGUUAUUAGGGAAGAACAAAUGUGUAAGUAACUAUGCACGUAUUGACGGUACCUAAUCAGAAAGCCACGGCUAACUACGUG